CAGUAUACUGUGUUGAAUUGGGUUGGGAGUCUUUCAUCUGCAAAAGAAAAUAAAAAAAAACUUAUUAUCACAUCUUCAUCCCCCUCUAUCAAAAUGAUCAAAAAGGAAGGCGAGCUUGCUUCUCCGAAAAGCUGAGUUUUUCGGUUCGCCCCCCCUAUGUGGUUGGCCUUCUUACCAGUCUGCCUCCUUUCUCUUGAUGGAAUAUAUCAAUACCCGAGCUCCAGCCUUGCUUGCGUUCUUCACCGGCGCUCGCCAGAUGUAUCACUCAUCCCGCUCCCCACGGAGCGGUAAGGGGUCUUCUUGUGUGUUAUAAUCUUUACGGGAAUGAAUCGCAUAUGUUGGUUGAGAAUUGCUCGGGAAUUCAUUGAUAACGCACAUGUAAGCAUAACAAAUACCUGUUCAAAUGUCUUCAACUUGGAUAAUAUGGAGAAGAAAAAACUAAUAUCAAUUCAUUUAUUUAAAACCAUUUAAUUUAGGACAGAUUCAAUAUUUUUUAAGCAAACAAAAUUAUAAACUUUUACAAAAAUUACAACAUCAGUUACACAAGCCUUCAAUUUGAUAUUAAUUCGUCUUAUCCAAUUUGACCGAAUUUGCAAUUUAUUUGGUUAUUUUUAAAAAAUUUAAUCAGUAUUUUGCUCUACUUGACCAAAGUUGGGCCAAUUUCCAGCAUACUUUAUUAUUGUAAAAAUUAGGCAAAUGACAUACUGUAAAUGAUAAAUUACAUUCUAUCCCUAUAAUAUUUAUUUAUUCUCAGCCCAAUUCCCACUUUAUAAUUCCCAGCCCAACCCCGUCAUAUUCCCAAGCCCAACAUAAUUUUCUUUCAGCCCACUUUUAAGUCACCAAAAGUCUCAGCCCAAUUUAAUUCCAGCUGACCCAAAAGACUUGGCUGCGUCCUUGACAGGCUUGAAUGCUCACAACUCAUGAGCGAGUACUCUUUUACACAUAGAACUUGUAACAAAUGUAAAGACAUCCAAAAUAACGAUGUAUCAACAUAAUUAUGAAUUAGAUAUACGCUAUGAUAAUGUGCUAUAAAUAUAUACUUUUAGCCAAAUAUCAUAUAUAUAUCAUGACUAGUCUUGUAUAAACGUAGCUUCUUCUUUUUUUCUAGCUUUUAAUAUGAAAAACUUUAUUCGCACACCUAACAAUAUCCUGUAUUGAGUCCAAGGCGAGUUUUAGGAAUAAAUGACUUCUAAAACUCUUGUUAUAUGUCGAAAUCAAGAUUAUUAAUAAAUGUGAAACCAUUGACCAUUGCUAUCCAUGAAUAAUUCUUAGUUAGUUAAUUAAAAGUGAUGAUUUGUUAGUUCAAAGUCUUGUUAUAUAAAGAUGUGAUUAAAUAAUAUGUAGAAAAGGACGUGUAACUUAUAAUGCGUGCAUAUUGAAUUAUAUUAGGAUUGAUUGAUACCGCAACGUACACUAAUUGCAAUUAUUAGGAAACCUUACUUAAAUAAGUGAGAUUUAUUUGGCACAUUUUCUUCAUAAACGGCAAGCCAAAAAAGAUAUUAAGGAAAUGAUGUGACAAAUUAAUUUCCACAAAAUGUUCAAAAAAAAAUUAAAAAAAUACUUACUAAAGAAAAAGUAGUACCAGCAGAAGAUGAUUCAAGAUUUAAUGUUUGUUGAUAUAUACAUUAUUCUUAAAAUUAAUAUACAACAAUAAUCAAAUUAACAUAUAAAUAUUUAUAGAUAUAUGAUGAAUGUUUUAAUAUUUAUAUAAAUAAUUUUUGACAAAAAAUAUUGACAACAUUCAAGCAUUUAUAGAUAUACAGUGAACUAUGUUCAAGCAUUUCUUUUGAUUAAAAUUUUCUCAUUAAUUUAUGCAAUUGGACAAUUUUAAACAAUCAUAUCUUUUUGAAUAUAAACAAUCGCUAGGUAUCAUAUGUUCCAUCUAAUUAAAGCCCUAUAAGUCUUUUUUAUAAUGUCAUCAAGUUUACAUUAAUAAGAAUUUGUAGUAAAAAAUUAUGACUAUUUUAUCAGAGACAUGAUCAACACUCAACAGAGAAUAUCAAAAGAUUUUUAUCGCUUAACCAUUGUUGAAUCGCUUAUAUAACUAAUAAAUUUUUUAAUUAAUAAUUAAUUUUUCUCUUUAAUAAUAUAUAAACUCGUAGAUUAUAUUAAAGAAAGUUACAAGGGACAUUGAAUGAAAAUGUGGUUGAUAAAUCUUUGAGACCCCCCUUAGUCCCUUUCAUGAUCUUCUAAUUUUGGUCAAAAAGGAAAGUUUCACAUACCCCACCCCCCACUGCACCUCCUUCGAAUUGUCACGUUUGUAACUGACUAUUCUCAAAUAUUGUAUUAUUUAUAUUUUAUGUUUUGUGCAGAUAAAAAAAAAUAAUGUUUCAGUUCAACUAACUCGAAGAAUGAUUUUAAGAAAAUAAUAAAAAGUAGAAAGAUUUUGUCAAUCUUUAAUGUUCACAUCCAAUGUAUUCAAAAUCUAUCACUAAAUUUAGAACAUCAUGACAAAGAGUUGUCGUAAUAGUAAUUAUUGUUGUGGUACUCCGUCCCAUUUGUAGAUAUUGUAUUUAUGACUUAUUAGUAUUUUUGUUGAUGAUUUAAAAAAAUAAAAUAUAUAUAUAAAGAAAAAAAGUUAAUUAAGAGAAUUCGUUGUCUCUUAUAUUUAUACCUGAAAAAGAAAUUGACAGUAUAUUAUAUAAUUUACAUAUACAAUGUAAAAAAAUUUUAGAACCCUUUUUUUUUUUGGUAUUAGGUUAUCUACUUAUAUUAUGUUUUCUCCAUUGAAACUUUUGCUAUAACAAUUUUAAAAAAUCCAAAAAAUUGACUAUACAUUUAUUACUUUAGGAUCAAAUUAUGUAAUCGUGAAGGAAUAUGAAAUGGGCCAUGGGUUGUAUUGGGGGGUCCAAAAAUAGGUGGUAGUCUAGGUCAAUGUAUAGUUUGUUGUCAAUAAAACAUUAACUUCUAACUAGUGACAUAAUAAAAAUUUUCACCGACAAUGUUCAAACUUUAGAUAGUAAAUUCGAAAAUAAAUUAUCCUACAUGAGUUCAAACUUGGGCACCAUAUAUGUAGAGCACAUUGCAUAUCCUUGUUACUGCGCCACAAGUCUCCAUUGGUUCUAAGGAUUUUCAGAAAUACAAUAAAUAUAUAAUUAUAAAGUAAUAUUUGAUAUAUAUUGUAAUUUUUCAAUGAAGGAUGCAUAUCUAAUUGGACAUCCUGACAUCACCAUUGUUCCGCCGCUGCUUCUGGCAUGACCAAACAUAGUUUAUCUACAUAUAUAUACAACAACAUAACUUUAAUUAAUAGGUCGUUGUAUUACGUAUAUAUUGGAAUAACUUUGGUAAGUUUCAUUAUCCAAUUAUUAAUUGUUAUUAUAUCAUCACUAGAGGUGGCAAAUAGACGGAUUGGGUUAAAUAUAGACGGAUUAAAAAUGGGUAAACAUAAAAUGGGUAAUCAUUCAAUUCGCCCAUAUUUGAUAUGGGUAAAAAUAGGUUGGGUAAAAUACUAGUUUACCCAUAUUUUACUCAUAUUCUAUGAAUAAAUAGAUCCUUAUUUAAGAAUUCAAUUUGAAGAAAAUAUUUUAGUCUCUUUUUAGAUGAAAUCUGUUGAAAAUGCUUCAUUUAGUUUUAUUUUACUCUUUCACUUUAAUUUAUCAUCAAUUGUUUUUCAAUAACAAUAAUAAUAAUAAUAAAUUUAAUUGCACAAAUUAAUUUUGAAAAUGAUAAAAUAUAUGUAAAUUUUACCAUAUUUUAUAGAAUGUAUGCAAAAAUUACUCCUCUAAUAGAAACAGAGUUGUUUUCAAUUCAAAUAUAGCAAUACAUACCACACAAUAAAAAUUUAACGUAAAUAACGAAGAUAAGUAAAUUUCACCUCUUCCUUUUCUCGAGGAUAAGAAGAACGUCUCGUCAAAAAUCAGUAGCUUAUGGCAAAGAGAUAUAUUUGUUGUUGAGCAAGUAAAGAGAGGUCCAAAUUGUUCCCUAAAGAUGGGAAGAAAAUUAAUGGCAAAUCUAGUUGGUGAAAUGUUGCCUAUCCAAUCUAAUCUAAUAUCGAUUGAUCCCACUAUGACAAGAGAUAUCAAAGAUUGUAUGUACUUUGAUUCAACAAUUUGCACGAAAAAUUAUAGUGUUUGGAUAAGGAAGUAUCACAUGUUUGGUAAAAUAUGCCUUUCACAAUCUAAGCCUACAUUCUAGGUUAGUGGUUAUCAUUCAACACUCUAACUAUCGAUUCUCGAAAUCUAGAUAUUAUUGCAUAGAUUUGAGACGUGGAGUAAUGUAUAGUUAAUGGUACCGAGAUACAUCAACUUUCAGAGGUGAAAUUUUUAGUUCAGCUGCUUUUAAAUUACAAAUAUAGAAUAGUGAGUUUGAGUCAAGUUAAUAAACUAUUAAUUUUGAUUUUUUGUAUGGACUAUGACGACUCUGCGCUGCUCCCGAUAAUUUACAAGUCGAUUUGAUGAGAUACAAUAGCAAUGCACUACUUUCUUCGUCUUAAUUUAUCUGACACGUUUAUUUUUAGUUAGCCUCUAAAAUAUUGAUACAUUUCUAUACUUAGUAAUAACUUGAUUUUAAAAUAUUCAUUUUACUCGUAAGGAGAUGAUAUAUAAUCACACCAAUAUCUAUAAUUUGUCUUAAAUCACAAAUUUUAAUUUUUUAAAAAAAAUUUAAUCAAACUAAACAUCACGUAAAUUAAAAUGAAGAAUUAACAUAUUUCAAACUUUGGUAGCGUGGCACUAUGGUAACCAUGAACCUUUUGAUGUGAUGUCAUGUACAUUUUUUUUGUUAAAACUUUUUAUUGAAUUAUUUAAAAGUUAUUAUCCAUCGAAAAAACUUUUAAGAAAAGUAACCAAUGUAUUUUAUUGCAACAUAUGUCUAUCAUUUUAUUGAAGUUGUAGGAAUCUUUCUCAUUAUAUUGUUUUACUUAAAAAUAUAUAAUAGUAAAAAAUGACUAAGUUUUAAAAAAUCAAUUAAUUUUAUGAUUUAAGAAAAAUUGACUUUUCAAAUUACAGAGUCGCCACUUGAUUUUUUAGUAAAAUCAAGAAAAUCUAAAAUUAUUUUUUCAAAAGAUUUAAAACAGAUAAAAAUUAGUUAAAAAAGAUUCGAAGUUCAAAUGUACAUUCCGAGAAGGUGUUAGGCCUCGGAAUGUCCGCUAACUCGCGGUUGACUAGCGAUUUGACUAAAUGACUUUCAAAUAUUUUCUAAAUAUUGUCUAAAUUAAGUGAAUUCAAAUUUUAUUUACUUACUUAAUUACUAUUAUUUUCUAAUUAAUCAUAUAUGUAUUUUAUUUAUAUAGUUUUCUUUUAGAAAAAGCAAAAGAAGGAUAUCAGUUAAGAGGGGGAAGGGACAUAAAGGGAUUAAUGAGAUCAAAUAUAUAUAUAUAUAUAUAUAUAUAUAGUAUAAGAGAAAUGACAACUUUGGGAUUUAAUUAAGUUAAAACUAUAGGAUAAACAUAGUUAGGCGAAAUAAUACGAAUAAAAGUAAAAGGAGGAAAAUAUUGAAUUGGGGCCUUAAAGUCCAAAUUUUAUGACCUGUCCUAAAUCUAAAGUGACCCAAAAUGGAUUCGGGCCCAAAUUCAACAAAUGGCUGCUGGAAAUUAUUAAGGCUUUGGGCCUAUUUCCCUUUGAGAAACCAACGUAUACAUUUUAUGUAUAUCGUUAUAUACGAGCAGAAUUUCGAACGUUUUUUUCUGCAUCAUCCCUGUACAUCGAUUUUUGAAUGUAUUUUCAUCAAAAAUAUGCACCCCUGAAUUUUCUAAGACUUAUAAUGCGUAUAUUUCAACUGUAUAUUAAUGUAUACAACAGGUAUAUUGACCUGUUCUUUGGCUUUUCGGAGAUGGGGUGGGUGAAAAUAUUUUAUCUAUAUAUUAAGGUGCUCAAUUGAAAUAAGUUUCAUUAUUUAAAUGAAUAACAAUAUGCAUAAUGUAUUUUAAAAAAAGAUACUUCAUUGUAGGGGUGUGCAUCGGUUGGUGCGAUUCAAUUUUAUGUAUUAUCAGUUUUUGAUUUUUAAAUAUGUUAACCCAAUAACAAAUCAAGAACAUAUUCUUUAUUGGUUUUCGAUUUAUCAUUUUGAUCAUUAUCAGUUCAGUUUCAAUUUAACCAAUAAGAAAAUAUCCAUAAAUUUUAAUAUGACUUCUCAUUUCUCUAAAUGUUUUUGAUAUAGUGAAACAAGAAAAAUAAUGAAAAAUUACAUCAAUAAGAGAAAACAUUGUUCAAAAGCUAUAAUUAUAUGUCAUGACCACCAAAAUAUAUAACGAAAUUUCUUAUGUUAAUCAAAGUACAAACUUUUAUAAACUUGCAAAAGUUACAACCUACAAUUAUAAACUAAAACUAAUAUGAAAUAGUCCAACAAAACUAAAAUUAAAACUAAAAUCACAUAGCUACAAUUGCAAACCUAUUAUGAAGUGGAUAGAAUAUUAAUAAUUUGAUAUAUUUAUAAACCUAUUAAAAAUCCAAUAAUUCAAUAACUAAAUAUCAUUUUUUUAUUUAAUUUAUUAGUCGGUAUGAUUUUUGCACACCAAUACUUUAUUGUGCUUUCUAGAAUUGUAGUUUUGUAUUUGAAAAGUAAAUUUGUUCAUAUAGUAUAAGCAGUCAAUUCUACUUUUACAUUUGUAAUAAAGGACGUAUUCUUAUUACAAUUGUUUUGUUGAGGGCUUGUUUUUGUAAUCCAUGUGUGUAGUUUGGUGCUUCUGAUGAUCUAGAAUUUAAGAAUUUCGGAGUUACACUAAAGUAGAUGAAAACUGUUAUUACGUAUAAAGUAUAAAGUACGACUAGUAUUAGUUGUAUGAGGGGUUAUUUUAUUAUAUUUUUAUUUAUGAGGGGUUAUUUUAUUAUAUUUUAAUUUGUGGAUUCAUGCUUUAUUGUCUUCUUUGACUUUUUUUUUAUUUUUCUUAUUUUUUUUUCUCACUCUCUUUCCGCGUUUUUCUAGAUUUUUAAAAAAAAGCUAUAUUCGGAAAUCAAUUUAAUUACUAUUUUAAUUUGUUUAGGUAAAAAUAAUAUUUUCUCUAUCUACUAUUAUUUGUCAUGAUUUCUAUUUUUAGAGUUAAAUUAUAAGAAGUUAAGAAUUUUAAUUAAUAUUUAAAAAUGUAUUUUUUUAUUAUAUUGAUAUGCAAAAAGUUACAGAUUAUAGUACUAUUCAUAUAGUUUUUGAAUAUUUAAAUUUUUUAUUUAAAAUAUCGAAUUAAUGGAAUCUAAUUUAACUUUAAAAUUAGUUGGGUGAGGUAAAAAAUCUGUAAGCUUGAAAUAUUAUCAAAAAAUAUUUUUUUUUUCCGAAUUUUUUAACUAUUUUUGUUUAGUAGAGGGGGGGGGGGGGGUUUAGGGAUUGGGAAAAGGGUAAAAAAUUAUUUGAAAUUAAAAAAAUAAGUUUUUAUUUUUUGAUGUGGAGGGUCGGGUAUGGAGUAUUGGGUAGGGUAAAAAAAUAUGAUAAUAUUAGAAUGAAGUAUGCUUUUGAAAAAUAUUUUUCUUUAUUUAUAAAGAAAAAAAUUAUCUUAAAUUUAAGGAAAUUAAGUUGAUUUGAAAAAUAUUUUCAAAACAUUUAAUCCAAUUAACAGAGAAAAUUAUAAAUUCACAUUAAACUCACCCUAAAAGAUGUACUAGUUUAAUAAACUCAAAAGAGAAAUCACCACUGUACAAAAUAUAGUUACCUGGAAAUGUAUAAAAAAUCUAGUUUUAGUAUCCCCGUAUAACGUUGGGUCCACCUAAAACACGAAACAGGUAUAUUAUAUUAUAGUUAUUAGAUAUUCAGCAUUUGCUAAGAAAUUUUCUUAUGCACAUCUUAAAAACACAAAAUUCAAUAGUUAACAUACAUCCUUCUUCAAGUAAACGAUAGAUUAAUAAAGUAAAAAAUUGAUAUAAACUUACUCUCCAACCAGCUUGUAAGAUAUCUGAUCCUUUAUGAAUUUUUAGUCGAGAUCCACUGUGUUGCUGUCCAUUAACUUGAGGAUUGUACAAAGCAGAACUCAUUCCGGCUCCCGCAAACUUGUUAUGUGGAUUAUAUGAAAUUUGAGCUAUUGCAACCUAAUUUUUUAAAAAAAUUGUUUUUAGUAAAUCUUACAGAGUGCCCAAAUUAAACUAAGAAUAACUUGUUCCUUUAUUACUUCAAAUCCCAUUAAAUAAAACAUGGACAUUAAAAAAUAAUUUUUAUAGCCAUAUACCACCUUAUAUCCUUGUGAAGAUACAUAUCUUCCAUUUGGCCUACUAUUAUUGUUGCUCUGCAUUAGAAAAUGAACUUAUUUUUACGUUUGAAAUAAAUAUGCAAUAUAUAUAGAAGUAAAUUGACAUAAAUCAUCUUACAACAUCAUAUUCAUCGGUGAAUGUGAUAUCCUCUGGAGGAGGCAUAUGAGUUAAUCUUACAAGAUCAUCUUUUGUCAUUCUCUUAACAGGAAUAGUUCCAAAAGGGCAUCCUCCAUCUUUUGACCAUAUUGUCCAUGACCUAUUAGUUGUUGAUGAGAAGGUUGAAUCUUUCUUGAUUGUAGAUAAAGUAGAUUUCAUCUGCUCAAUCAAAUGUUCAACUGUAUGUCAAUAAUAUCAUAUCCAAUAGGAACAAAAUGACAACGAAAUGAAAAGAGAGUAGAGAUAUGCCUUAGGAUGAAAAUUAUGAUCCUUCAAUAAUGGGUUAUCAAAUGCACGUUGUUUGUAGAAAUCUACGCAGUCGUAUGUAUCUCCAUAUUUAGUCUGUAAACAAUUAAAAUUAAUAAAACAAGUAGCCUAAGUUAGAACAAGAUGUACCAUUUAAACACAAAACAUACUCACGAGAACAAUUCUUAGUAAAUGGUAAUACUACUACUUUGCUUUUUUUUUAAAAAAAAAGAUUUUUUUUUAGAAAAGACUAAUCUAGGUCAUUCAUUCGUAUUUAUUCAUUUAUGCUACUUUCGUUGAGAAAAUGUUCAUCUAUGCCAUUAUAUGUUAAUGAAAAAUAUUUCGAUAGAUGUGUCCUAAGCCAUUGUUAUGCCCUUGACUCCAAUUUGCAAGAUCAUAUGCAAAAAUUGUGCUUAAUCCAUUUUAGUUCAUUUGUUUGAUUGGAUUUGACAUGAAAUUUUAAAAGGUAAUUUUGUUUUGAAUCUUGUGAUAUUAAAAUAAAUAUAUAUAGAAUAUAUUAAAGUGCUCUUAAAUCUUGUGGUUUAAACAUGUUAUGUGAAAAAAUAGAAUCAAAUAAUUUGAAAAAAUGGAAAAAAAUAUUUUUCUCAAAUCAAAUUAAAAGAAAAAGUAAAACAAACAAAUCGAAACAGACUAACCUGCUCAAUCUUCAACUACAACAAAAGUUUACGUUGAAAGAAGGAAUUAAAGGGAAUUUUCUCCAUUUCCCGAGAAUAAUGUGACAAAUGAAUGUUUUCUCCAAUACAAAAGUGAUAUUAUCAAAUAAAAUGUCUUUUGCGACUUAGAAGUAUAAUAAAAUAAAUUUUUUGAAGAAAAAAAUACCUUUACUGUUUUGACGGCUGGUUUGUUCAAAAUUUUUAGUUGUUUCUCUAACUCCGCAUUCUCAAAUUUGGAUAGAUUUUUUUGCCCUUCCACCCUAUUAUAACUUAACAUAAAAUAUAACAUCAAUAACGUUUGUUGAAUCGUUCUUUGAUCCAUCCUGAAUUCAUUUCUUUUUAUAGGCAUGAAUCUUAGGUGUUUUGAAGAAAUUAGAUUAAUUAAUUCAACAAGAAAGCUCAACACUGAAUUUGAUUUGCUAGGUGUAAGUAUUGAUAUCUCUGCUACUAUAAGGAAGACAUUGUUAUAUAGAAAUGUUGAAAAGAUUAAGUUGACUAUUAUGUAAAAGAUAUUGACUUUUUGAAAGUUUAAUAAAUGUUGAUUGACCUUUUGUAAUUAAUAACCAAAAUAAUAAUUAACUUCAUCUGACCAAAUCUAAGAAGACUUUGAAUGCUUUUUUGUUGUUCAUAUCUACAUAAUAAAAUAUUUAAAAUAUUUUUGACUAUAGACCAAAUAUGUUGUCCAGUCCGAAACCAAAAUUAGAUUAUUAUUUUUAAAAAAUUGAAAAAGAACUAAAGUAAUGUGCAAAUAUUUUGACCAAAGCUAUUAUUUGAGGAUAAUUAUAAGCAAUACUUAGAGUUGAGGAAUGUCUUUAAAUCUUUAUUUUCGAUAAAUUUAAAUAAAAAUUAAAAUAGAUAAUUAUUCUCCGAACUAUCAUGAAUAUUGUGGUAAUACCUUUCGUAAUACUAACAUAUAUCAUAAAUUUUUUUUUACCCAAUAUUCAAUAUCAACUAAUUUAAAUUCGCACCGAAUCUUUUUACCUUCUGAAAUAUAAUACUUUGUACUAAAAACAAUUUUAUAACCAAGUAGCUUAUGAACUGAAUUAAAGAUUCAGACAAAACAAUGACUAAUUUGGGCCUUAGUAAUUACGAUUUUCUGGGCCUGAGCUAACGGAUACAUGGGCCUUGAUCUAUUGAGUUGGAGAAAUUAUGCAGCUAAGCAAAUUUAUGUUAUUUAAUUACUUAUCAUAGCUAUAGUUUGCUAUAACUAUCACUCGCGACUAAUAUUAUAAAUUAAUUACGUGGGCUGACUUUGAGUUUGUAUAAUUAGUCACGUUUGUAUAUGUAUAAUUCGCCAGAAUAUACAGAUACAUAUGUAUAUUAUACAAUUAUUUAACCUAUAUACAUAUAUAGUUCACCUCUCUUCCGCUCACAUCUCUCCUUCCUCUCCCAUUCUCUUGCUAUUAAUAUAAAUGCAUAUGUAUAAUAUAUAAUUAUUUUCAACCUUAUAUAUUUAGCAAUAAGUAUCCAUUCAGUAUACUGUGUUGAAUUGGGUUGGGAGUCUUUCAUCUGCAAAAGAAAAUAAAAAAAAACUUAUUAUCACAUCUUCAUCCCCCUCUAUCAAAAUGAUCAAAAAGGAAGGCGAGCUUGCUUCUCCGAAAAGCUGAGUUUUUCGGUUCGCCCCCCCUAUGUGGUUGGCCUUCUUACCAGUCUGCCUCCUUUCUCUUGAUGGAAUAUAUCAAUACCCGAGCUCCAGCCUUGCUUGCGUUCUUCACCGGCGCUCGCCAGAUGUAUCACUCAUCCCGCUCCCCACGGAGCGGUAAGGGGUCUUCUUGUGUGUUAUAAUCUUUACGGGAAUGAAUCGCAUAUGUUGGUUGAGAAUUGCUCGGGAAUUCAUUGAUAA
rnacentral:lncRNA from 1 species